GAUGAACGCUGGCGGCGUGCCUAAUACAUGCAAGUCGAGCGAACAGAUGAGGAGCUUGCUCCUCUGACGUUAGCGGCGGACGGGUGAGUAACACGUGGAUAACCUACCUAUAAGACUGGGAUAACUUCGGGAAACCGGAGCUAAUACCGGAUAAUAUCUUGAACCGCAUGGUUCAAUAGUGAAAGACGGUUUUGCUGUCACUUAUAGAUGGAUCCGCGCCGCAUUAGCUAGUUGGUAAGGUAACGGCUUACCAAGGCAACGAUGCGUAGCCGACCUGAGAGGGGGAUCGCCCACACUGGAACUGAGACACGGUCCAGACUCCUACGGGAGGGAGCAGUAGGGAAUGUGCCGCAAUGGGCGAAAGCCUGACGGAGCAACGCCGCGUGAGUUAUGAAGGUCUUCGGAUCGUAAAACUCUGUUAUUAGGGAAGAACAAAUGUGUAAGGAACUAUGCACUUCUUGACGGUACCUAAUCAGAAAGCCACGGCUAACUACGUG
rnacentral:rRNA from 1 species